UACAGAGGCCUCGAGCGUUAGGCGGAAUCACUGGGCUUAAAGCGUGUGUAGGUGGAUGCCUAAGUACCUUGUGAAAUCCCACGGCUUAACCGUGGAACUGCUGGGUAUACUGGGUGUCUUGAGCCACUCAGGGGCUACCGGAACAAACGGUGGAGCGGUGAAAUGCGUAGAUAUCGUUUGGAACGCCAAUGGUGAAAACAGGUAGCUGGGGGUGUGCUGACACUGAGACACGAAAGCCAGGGGAGCAAACGGG
rnacentral:rRNA from 1 species